rnacentral:rRNA from 1 species
UACGUAGGGCGCGAGCGUUGUCCGGAAUUAUUGGGCGUAAAGAGCUCGUAGGCGGUUUGUCGCGUCGGUUGUGAAAACCCAAGGCUCAACCUUGGGCCUGCAAUCGAUACGGGCAGACUAGAGUACUGCAGGGGAGACUGGAAUUCCUGGUGUAGCGGUGGAAUGCGCAGAUAUCAGGAGGAACACCGGUGGCGAAGGCGGGUCUCUGGGCAGUAACUGACGCUGAGGAGCGAAAGCGUGGGGAGCGAACGGG